rnacentral:rRNA from 1 species
ACGGGAGGCAGCAGUGGGGGAUAUUGCGCAAUGGGGGCAACCCUGACGCAGCAACGCCGCGUGAAGGAUGAAGGUUUUCGGAUUGUAAACUUCUUUUAUUAAGGACGAACAAUGACGGUACUUAAUGAAUAAGCUCCGGCUAACUACGUGCCAGCAGCCGCGGUAAUACGUAGGGAGCAAGCGUUAUCCGGAUUUACUGGGUGUAAAGGGCGUGUAGGCGGGACAUCAAGUCAGAUGUGAAAGCACGAGGCUCAACUUCGUGUCUGCAUUUGAAACUGACGUUCUUGAGUGUUGGAGAGGCUAACGGAACUCCUAGUGUAGCGGUGAAAUGCGUAGAUAUUAGGAAGAACACCAGUGGCGAAGGCGGUUAGCUGGACAAUAACUGACGCUGAGGCGCGAAAGCGUGGGUAGCAAACAGGAUUAGAUACCCUGGUA